rnacentral:rRNA from 1 species
UUGUGGACAGUAGUCUCUUUCAUUAGAAAGAGCAAUGACAUCUCUUGACCUCAAAUCACGUAGGACUACCCGCUGAACUUAAGCAUAUG